rnacentral:rRNA from 1 species
GAGUUUGAUCCUGGCUCAGGACGAACGCUGGCGGCGUGCCUAAUACAUGCAAGUAGAACGCUGAAGGAGGAGCUUGCUUCUCUGGAUGAGUUGCGAACGGGUGAGUAACGCGUAGGUAACCUGCCUGGUAGCGGGGGAUAACUAUUGGAAACGAUAGCUAAUACCGCAUAAGAGUGGAUGUUGCAUGACAUUUGCUUAAAAGGUGCACUUGCAUCACUACCAGAUGGACCUGCGUUAGUAUUAGCUAGUUGGUGGGGUAAGGGCUCACCAAGGCGACGAUACAUAGCCGACCUGAGAGGGUGAUCGGCCACACUGGGACUGAGACACGGCCCAGACUCCUACGGGAGGCAGCAGUAGGGAAUCUUCGGCAAUGGACGGAAGUCUGACCGAGCAACGCCGCGUGAGUGAAGAAGGUUUUCGGAUCGUAAAGCUCUGUUGUAAGAGAAGAACGAGUGUGAGAGUGGAAAGUUCACACUGUGACGGUAUCUUACCAGAAAGGGACGGCUAACUACGUGCCAGCAGCCGCGGUAAUACGUAGGUCCCGAGCGUUGUCCGGAUUUAUUGGGCGUAAAGCGAGCGCAGGCGGUUAGAUAAGUCUGAAGUUAAAGGCUGUGGCUUAACCAUAGUAGGCUUUGGAAACUGUUUAACUUGAGUGCAAGAGGGGAGAGUGGAAUUCCAUGUGUAGCGGUGAAAUGCGUAGAUAUAUGGAGGAACACCGGUGGCGAAAGCGGCUCUCUGGCUUGUAACUGACGCUGAGGCUCGAAAGCGUGGGAGCAAACAGGAUUAGAUACCCUGGUAGUCCACGCUGUAAACGAUGAGUGCUAGGUGUUAGACCCUUUCCGGGGUUUAGUGCCGUAGCUAACGCAUUAAGCACUCCGCCUGGGGAGUACGACCGCAAGGUUGAAAACUCAAAGGAAUUGACGGGGGCCCGCACAAGCGGUGGAGCAUGUGGUUUAAUUCGAAGCAACGCGAAGAACCUUACCAGGUCUUGACAUCCCUCUGACCGCUCUAGAGAUAGAGUUUUCCUUCGGGACAGAGGUGACAGGUGGUGCAUGGUUGUCGUCAGCUCGUGUCGUGAGAUGUUGGGUUAAGUCCCGCAACGAGCGCAACCCCUAUUGUUAGUUGCCAUCAUUUAGUUGGGCACUCUAGCGAGACUGCCGGUAAUAAACCGGAGGAAGGUGGGGAUGACGUCAAAUCAUCAUGCCCCUUAUGACCUGGGCUACACACGUGCUACAAUGGCUGGUACAACGAGUCGCAAGCCGGUGACGGCAAGCUAAUCUCUUAAAGCCAGUCUCAGUUCGGAUUGUAGGCUGCAACUCGCCUACAUGAAGUCGGAAUCGCUAGUAAUCGCGGAUCAGCACGCCGCGGUGAAUACGUUCCCGGGCCUUGUACACACCGCCCGUCACACCACGAGAGUUUGUAACACCCGAAGUCGGUGAGGUAACCGUAAGGAGCCAGCCGCCUAAGGUGGGAUAGAUGAUUGGGGUGAAGUCGUAACAAGGUAGCCGUAUCGGAAGGUGCGGCUGGAUCACC